rnacentral:rRNA from 1 species
UACGUAGGGUGCAAGCGUUGCCCGGAUUUAUUGGGCGUAAAGGGCGCGCAGGCGGCCGAGCACGUCCGUUGUGAAAUCGCCUGGCUCAACUGGGCGGGGUCAGCGGAUACGGCUAGGCUGGAGCAAGCUAGGGGGCAAUGGAAUUCCCGGUGUAGAGGUGAAAUUCGUAGAUAUUGGGAAGAACACCGAUGGCGAAGGCAGCCAUCUGGACCGACACUGACGCUGAGGCGCGAAAGCGUGGGGAGCAAACAGG